rnacentral:rRNA from 1 species
GACGAACGCUGGCGGCAUGCCUAAUACAUGCAAGUCGAGCGAACAGAUGAAGUGCUUGCACUUCUGACGUUAGCGGCGAACGGGUGAGUAACACGUAAGGAAUCUACCUAUAAGCGGGGGAUAACAUUCGGAAACGGGUGCUAAUACCGCAUAAUAUCUUCUUCCGCAUGGAAGAAGAUUGAAAGACGGCUCUGCUGUCACUUAUGGAUGACCUUGCGGUGCAUUAGUUAGUUGGUGGGGUAAUGGCCUACCAAGACGAUGAUGCAUAGCCGACCUGGGAGGGUGAGCGGACACAUGGGGACUGAGACACGGCCCAAACUCCUACGGGAGGCAGCAGUAGGGAAUCUUCCGCAAUGGGCGAAAGCCUGACGGAGCAAUGCCGCGUGAGUGAAGAAGGCCUUCGGGUCGUAAAACUCUGUUAUAAGAGAAGAACAAACUGUAGAGUAACUGCUACAGUCUUGACGGUAUCUUAUCAGAAAGCCACGGCUAACUACGUGCCAGCAGCCGCCGUAA